rnacentral:lncRNA from 1 species
GGUUCUUUCUCUCCCUCUCCUCCUUACUCUUCACCUCUCUCUCCCUCACUCUUUCUCUCUCCCUCUCCUCGCUCCCCUCCCCCAUUCCCUGUCACACUCCAGUCCCCCCGGGGCGUCUGUCUGUGAUCUGCCAGGCUCAUCAGUGUAGGAGAGGAGAAGACUAACUGGGAGACCGUACCGGCUGUAAAUCUGACCAGGGAGGGAGGGGGAAACCUGCAGUGGCCACACUUCCACUGCAGCCGAGUGAGUCCCAGCAGCACCCCCCCACCCCCAGUGGACUGCAUCCUCCUGGAUUCACCUCAAACAAUGCAGAUGGCGUUAAUGAAGGGCUGGGCGGGCCAACUCCCAACACAAUGGGAUGGGUAACGCUGCUUCCAGACAGGCCAGUCAGCAGCAAGAGACACUGCAAAGAAUACAGCUGUUAAAGAAGAAGCUUGCUUCAGAUUCAGGCCUGUGACCAAAGUUGUGGCGUUGUUGCCUAAUUAAACAAUAAAAAGC